rnacentral:rRNA from 1 species
GAUGAACGCUGGCGGCGUGCUUAAUACAUGCAAGUCGAACGGACAGACGCGGGGUUUCCUGGUCUGUCGAUUGGCGCACGGGGGAGUAAAACACGUGUGAAAUGCACCUAACUUCCGGGUAUGACUUGGGGACACCGGAGCAUAUCCGGGAUGAUAUAUUGAACGAUGUGGUUGAGUAGUGAAAGACGGUUUUGCUUUCGCUUAUAGACUGACCCGCUCCGCAUUAGGUAGUUGGUUAGGUAACGGCCUACGAGGGCAACGAUUGGGAGGCGAUCGGGCCGGGUGAUCGGCCACACGGGAACUUAGACACGGUCAAUACUCCUACGGGAGGGAGCAGUCGGGAACCUUCCGCAAUGGGCGAAAGCCUGACGGAGCAACGCCGCGUGAGUGAUGAAGGUCUUCGGUGCGGAAAACUCUGUUAUUAGGGAAGAACAAAUGUGUAAGUAACUAAGCACGUCUUGACGGUACCUAAUCAGAAAGCCACGGCUAACUACGUG